GGCUUGUUGGCCGAGGGGUGAGAUUCUUGCUUUGGGUGCGAGAAUUUCCGGGUACAAAUCCCGGACGAGCCC